rnacentral:rRNA from 1 species
GUGGGGAAUUUUGGACAAUGGGCGCAAGCCUGAUCCAGCCAUGCCGCGUGCAGGAUGAAGGCCUUCGGGUUGUAAACUGCUUUUGUACGGAACGAAAAGACUCUGGUUAAUACCUGGGGUCCAUGACGGUACCGUAAGAAUAAGCACCGGCUAACUACGUGCCAGCAGCCGCGGUAAUACGUAGGGUGCAAGCGUUAAUCGGAAUUACUGGGCGUAAAGCGUGCGCAGGCGGUUUUGUAAGACAGGCGUGAAAUCCCCGGGCUCAACCUGGGAAUUGCGCUUGUGACUGCAAGGCUGGAGUGCGGCAGAGGGGGAUGGAAUUCCGCGUGUAGCAGUGAAAUGCGUAGAUAUGCGGAGGAACACCGAUGGCGAAGGCAAUCCCCUGGGCCUGCACUGACGCUCAUGCACGAAAGCGUGGGGAGCAAACAGGAUUAGAAACCCGUGUAGCC